AGGGAAGCGAGGAGAGGGGAAACGAUUUAAGAGACAUGAGACGUCCUUCCCUCCGAAGCGUCACGUGAAGCGACGUCCGUUUCUAAUGACGGCGGCAGCGGAUCACAGCUGGAUCAGCUGUCAGUCGCUUUAACAGCUGGAGACAUGCACUGAUACGGAAGCGUAUUGCUGCCACCCUUAUAAAAAAAAUAUCCUCCAUUUAUCUCGUUAUAACGAGAUACUAUCACGUUAUUUCGAGAUAAUGAUAGUUUCUCGUUAUAACGAGAUAAUGAAAGUUUCUCGUUAUAACGAGAUACUAUCACGUUAUAAUAUAAUAACGAAACGACAAGCAAGAAUAGGCUAUGGCUCAUUUGGACGAUUUAAUUAAGUUCUAUUUUUGAGUUACUUUUUGAGAAGACAUCAUGCCCAAUACUGGAUGAAUCGUUUCCAGGAGAUGAAGACAAAGACUUAUUCUCUGGAGACUUCUUGGACAAGCAGCUGAUAUUAUUUAGUUGCCUUGCCAUCAUCCAGGAAGAACUGCAGCAAGUUGCACAUUUGUGGAAUACCCAUGUCAUCCGCAAGACAAGAAAUGCAGUAGCUCCAAAUGGACGUCUGAUUCUCAUGUACACCAUCCCUCAUCUAUUUGGAGGACAAGAUCACCUGAAAGAGGUCUCUCAGGAAGCAGCGGAGGCUUGUAAACAAGAAUGCCAAAGGAGAGGACCUUACCCUUGUGAUGAAACAGUGUUUAAUAUGCGUUGCCUUAUAAUGACAGAGAACUUCUUACACUCACCCACCACAGCAGAUGAAGCAUGCAUUCAAAAAGAUUUAGAAAUUACACCAUGAUGUCUGGAGAAUUAAGGCAGGACUAUAUUGUGAACUGUUGAUCUGGUUAGUUUUGAACAUUUGAACAAAGGGGAUAGUAUGCAAGAAUAAUACUUCUUUUUUUUUCUUUUUUACCAAGUUAUGUAUGUACAAUAAUUCAGUGUGGUUAUGUUUCUCAGUACCAUGUGAUUUGUGCUUUGGAGGUGGGGGCUCUUUAUUCUGCUUUCUUCCUUGUACCUCUUAAUUUGUUUUUACAGAAUAAGACAACUUUAAACAUGACACUACAUAAACUGUGUGUUUCCCAACAUUAAAGUGCAAUAAAAUCAAUGAUAUAAUGA